rnacentral:rRNA from 1 species
UACGUAGGUGGCGAGCGUUGUCCGGAUUUACUGGGCGUAAAGAGCGCGCAGGCGGUCGUACAAGUCGCGUGUGAAAGCCCCCGGCUCAACUGGGGAGGGUCACGCGAUACUGUUCGACUCGAAGGCAGGAGAGGGAAGCGGAAUUCCCGGUGUAGUGGUGAAAUGCGCAGAUAUCGGGAGGAACACCGGUGGCGAAGGCGGUUCUCUGGGCCUGUACUGACGCUGAGGAGCGAAAGCGUGGGGAGCGAACAGG